UGACUNGAGUGCAGAAGGGGAGAGUGGAAUUCCAUGUGUAGCGGUGAAAUGCGUAGAUAUAUGGAGGAACACCAGUGGCGAAAGCGGCUCUCUGGUCUGUCACUGACGCUGAGGCUCGAAAGCGUGGGUAGCGAACAGGAUUAGAUACCCUGGUAGUNCACGCCGUAAACGAUGAGUGCUAGGUGUUAGGCCCUUUCCGGGGCUUAGUGCCGGAGCUAACGCAAUAAGCACUCCGCCUGGGGAGUACGACCGCAAGGUUGAAACUCAAAGGAAUUGACGGGGGCCCGCACAAGCGGUGGAGCAUGUGGUUUAAUUCGAAGCAACGCGAAGAACCUUACCAGGUCUUGACAUCCCGAUGCUAUUCUUAGAGAUAGGAAGUUACUUCGGUACAUCGGAGACGGGUGGUGCAUGGUUGUCGUCAGCUCGUGUCGUGAGAUGUUGGGUUAAGUCCCGCAACGAGCGCAACCCUUAUUGUUAGUUGCCAUCAUUAAGUUGGGCACUCUAGCGAGACUGCCGGUAAUAAACCGGAGGAAGGUGGGGAUGACGUCAAAUCAUCAUGCCCCUUAUGACCUGGGCUACACACGUGCUACAAUGGUCGGUACAACGAGUUGCGAGCCGGUGACGGCAAGCUAAUCUCUGAAAGCCGAUCUCAGUUCGGAUUGGAGGCUGCAACUCGCCUCCAUGAAGUCGGAAUCGCUAGUAAUCGCGGAUCAGCACGCCGCGGUGAAUACGUUCCCGGGCCUUGUACACACCGCCCGUCACACCACGAGAGUUUGUAACACCCGAANUCG
rnacentral:rRNA from 1 species